rnacentral:rRNA from 1 species
UGGGGAAUUUUGGACAAUGGGGGAAACCCUGAUCCAGCCAUCCCGCGUGUGCGAUGAAGGCCUUCGGGUUGUAAAGCACUUUUGGCAGGAAAGAAACGUCAUGGGUUAAUACCCCGUGAAACUGACGGUACCUGCAGAAUAAGCACCGGCUAACUACGUGCCAGCAGCCGCGGUAAUACGUAGGGUGCAAGCGUUAAUCGGAAUUACUGGGCGUAAAGCGUGCGCAGGCGGUUCGGAAAGAAAGAUGUGAAAUCCCAGGGCUCAACUUUGGAACUGCAUUUUUAACUACCGGGCUAGAGUGUGGCAGAGGGAGGUGGAAUUCCGCGUGUAGCAGUGAAAUGCGUAGAUAUGCGGAGGAACACCGAUGGCGAAGGCAGCCUCCUGGGAUAACACUGACGCUCAUGCACGAAAGCGUGGGGAGCAAACAGG